rnacentral:misc_RNA from 1 species
GCGAGUUUAGCUCUCUAAAACCAUUGUGAACGCACUGUCAACCGUUGCUUCGGCGGGCCUCCCGCCGACAGAACGCAAACUCUGUAAUUAUUGCAUCUCUGAGUACAUUUUUUAAUGUCA